UACGUAGGGGGCGAGCGUUGUCCGGAAUUACUGGGCGUAAAGAGCUCGUAGGUGGUUCGUCACGUCGGAUGUGAAACUCUGGGGCUUAACCCCGAGACCUGCAUUCGAUACGGGCGAGCUUGAGUAUGGUAGGGGAGUCGUGGAAUUGCCUGGUGGUAGCGGUGGAAUGCGCAGAUAGUCAGGAGGAACACCAAUGGCGAAGGCAGGACUCUGGGCCAUUACUGACACUGAGGAGCGAAAGCGUGGGGAGCGAACAGG
rnacentral:rRNA from 1 species